rnacentral:rRNA from 1 species
UUGCCCUACGGGACGCAGCAGUAGGGAAUUUUCGUCAAUGGGCGCAAGCCUGAACGAGCAAUGCCGCGUGAACGAGGAAGGUCUUCGGAUCGUAAAGUUCUGUUGAAGGGGAAAAAGAGCGGAGAGAGGAAAUGAACUCCGAUUGAUAUUACCCUUCGAGGAAGUCACGGCUAACUACGUGCCAGCAGCCGCGGUAAUACGUAGGUGGCGAGCGUUAUCCGGAAUGAUUGGGCGUAAAGGGUGCGUAGGCGGCCUGCUAAGUCUGGGGCGAAAGGUACCGGCUCAACCGGUAUAGGCUCUGGAAA